rnacentral:rRNA from 1 species
CCUACGGGAGGCAGCAGUGAGGAAUAUUGGUCAAUGGGCGCAGGCCUGAACCAGCCAAGUCGCGUGAGGGAUGACGGUCCUACGGAUUGUAAACCUCUUUUGUCGGGGAGUAACGUGCGGGACGGGUCCCGUAUUGAGAGUACCCGAAGAAAAAGCAUCGGCUAACUCCGUGCCAGCAGCCGCGGUAAUACGGAGGAUGCGAGCGUUAUCCGGAUUUAUUGGGUUUAAAGGGUGCGCAGGCGGCGCGCCAAGUCAGCGGUCAAAGUUCCGGGCUCAACCCGGUGUCGCCGUUGAAACUGGCGUGCUCGAGUGCGUGCGAGGAAGGCGGAAUGCGUUGUGUAGCGGUGAAAUGCAUAGAUAUGACGCAGAACUCCGAUUGCGAAGGCAGCUUUCCAGCGCGCUACUGACGCUGAGGCACGAAAGCGUGGGGAUCGAACAGGAUUAGAUACCCCUGUAGUC